UGGAGGAGAAAAAAAAAUUUGCAUCAUUUUAAUUACAGAGCAACAUGAAAUUACCAGCAAUGAGCAAAAUCUAGCAUGAAAGCAUCUAAAUAACAAUAAUAAUAAACUCAAUAAAUCCGGAAUAACAACCAUGACAGGUCUAUACCAUCAUGUAAAAUUACUGUUAAUGACCCAAGGAUGCAGGCGACAUUUAAACAUAAACACGACUCAAAUGGCUAAUACCAUUGGGGUACAUGAUAUGAAGAUUGUAAAAAUAAAAAAGAAUAAUAUAGCUUUUAAAGCAAAGUUGCACAAAAUAAUCAACGAUAACCGCCUUUUCACUCAACCAAAUGAUCAAAAGGAUGUUUAUGAGGGGCAAAGGAAAUAAACCCAGUAAUUAACGGACUACGCAAUGGAUAAAUGAGCAUAAUUGAACAAUACCCACUAGAUAUCCUAAUAUUAUAGAGUCUUUUAUCGAUUAUUAAUUAAGAGUCAUCUCACACCCUAUUUAUCCUAUAACAUAUCAUCUACAACAAUUAGAAUUCUACAUAAGAUCUGGAAAUUCAAACAAAACAACAAUAACUAAG
rnacentral:misc_RNA from 1 species